UGAAUGUUGAUAUGGUUUUGGCUCUGUCCCCAUGAAUCUCACUUCUAAUUGUAAUCUCCAUAAUCCCCAUGUGUCAAGGGCUGGACCAGGUGGAAGUAACUGAAUCAUGGGGAGGGUUUCCCCGUGCUGUUCUCGUGAUAGUGCCUUCUCACAAGAUCUGAUGGCUUUACAUGUGCUUGGCAUUUUCCCUGUUUGCCUUCCCUUCUUCCUGCUACCUAGUGAAGAAGGUGCCUGCUUCUCCUCUGCUUUCUGCCAUGAUCAUAAGUUUCCUGAGGCCUCCCAGCAUUAUGAAACUAAUGCAUGGAAAGAGCUUUUAUUCUCUGGAUGUCUCUUUCCAUAUUCCCUGGGGGACUGGCCAGGACAACUUAAAAAGAAAACUUCAGGAUCCUCAGGGUCCAGACCUCUCUGCCUCCACUCUUCUACAUCCAACUUUGAGUUUUCUUCACUCCCCAGAAUGGAUGUUGCCUACAGAGAAGAGAACCCAAAUGAGAGAAGUGUUAGGAGUAAUUGUAGAAAUUCUGAACAGCUUUGCUUAGAGAAAAAGAAAAAGGAGAGGGAAAAGGAGAGACUGUUUCCUAAGAGGCCAGUUUAUAAAAGGCUCUUCUUUCAGCACACUUUGAGUUAUAAUUUGUCUGCUCCUACCAGGAUCUCAUGUUACAGAGCUUUUAGGGAGAGAGACUGA
rnacentral:lncRNA from 13 species